rnacentral:rRNA from 1 species
AAUCAACGCUGGCGGCGUGCCUCAGACAUGCAAGUCGAACGCGAAAGUUUCCUUCGGGAGAUGAGUAGAGUGGCGCACGGGUGAGUAACACGUGAGUAAUUUACCUUCGGGUGGGGAAUACUAACCGGAAACGGUUGUUAAUACCGCAUAAUGCAGCGGCAUCAAUGAUGACAGUUGUUAAAGCGGGGGAUUGGAGCAAUCCGACCUCGCGCCUGAA